rnacentral:misc_RNA from 1 species
AAUCCAAGAAUUUCACCUCUAGCAUCGGAAUACAAAGGCCCCCAACCGUCCUUAUUCAUCAUUACCAAGGGCUGCAACCAACGAGCGGGCCACCUGGUCCUAUCUCAUUAUUCCAUGCUGGAGUAUUCAAGGCGCACGCGCCUGCUUGGAACACUCUAAUUUGCUCACAGUAAACGACCCAGUGGCAACCCUAGGCGACAACUGAAUGCCCACCCAGGACCUCCGGGAAAAAGAAGCGUCUCACACCCGUGCAGCAGGCACUGGGCCUGGACAGGCGGUGACAGCCUCUGAACUUCAACUACGAGCUUUUUAACUGCAACAACUUUAAUAUACGCUAUUGGAGCUGGAAUUACCGC